CCAUAAUGUGGAAAUUUCUCUGUCUUGGGAGAAUGUUAACCGAUGAUAUGAGCAAUAUAUAUUGCUCAAAGAGGGGUAACAAUUGUGUAUUGGGGCUCAGUUGGAUGGAACACCGGGACAGAUUGGGGUUAUAAGAUAUGGAACUCCUCAAAAUGGGAAAGCCUCACCUCUAGACAAACUCUUGUUAAUCCUCUAAAGCCCCACAUUCAAACCCUUGGUGAUAUGAUGGCCAUAGCAGAUCCCACGUUUGGAGAUACCAUAGCAUUAGAAACAGGGUAUACAGAUACAAACCUAUGGCUGGAAUGGACUAGAGACGAGGUGGCAGCAGGAUUUGAAUCAAUAUUUCCCAUUAUAACAGCUAACAAGAAUGUUAACUGGAUUAAUUAUAUAUAUUAUAUCAGCAAAGAUUUGUAAAUUAUACACGAGAUGCAUUACAAGGUCUUGCUGAACAAUUACAGGCUACCUCACAAAUGACUUUCCAGAAUAGAAUGGCCCUUGAUAUGGUUUUAGCAGAAAAGGGAGGAGUCUGUAAAUUACUUGACUCCGGUGUUUGUUGUACUUAUAUUCCAGAGAACACUGGCCCUAAUGGUAAAGUAACCCUAGCUAUAAAGAAAUUGGAAGACCUGUCCAUAGAAAUGAAGAGGAAUUCAGGUAUUGAUCACCCAUGGGCAGAUAUGUUUAAGUUUGACAGUAUCCUAGACUGGCUAAAGAAUAUUGCAAUACUUAUUGUUAUGGUUCUGAUCCUUGCUCUACUUGUUUAUGCUAUUUUCAAGAUUAUUGUAUUCUGCAUUUACAAACAUACACGCAACACUGUUCAUGUAAAAUCCCCAGCUUGCUAUGAUGAGUAUCUCCAAAUGUAUACACAUAACCGAAGCAAUGAUGAACAUGCUGAUACAGAUCUAUAAGUUUGUGGUACUGGUCAGAUGCCUAGUCCUAUGCUAUGGGAAUAGUGGCCGAAGACAUAAUGAAAGACCUGCAGGAUUGGCUAGCAAUCCUGAAUAUACCAUGGCAGAUGGCUGGUUGUCUGACCAGGACUCCUUAAAUAGGGUAUGAGCAAGAUAUUGCUCAAAGAGGGGAAAAUGAAGGAAUUGAGACAGUUAAUCUGUUAGUAUUGUAGAAAUGAAUUAUUUUGUAAAUGUAGUAGCAAGCUCUUUUCAGAACUGCUUGCAAAACAUAACUGAAAGGAAGUCACAAGCUAUGACAGUUUCUAUGUAUCAGGAAAUGCCUAACCACAAUGUAUAUGUGAUAUUUUGUAAGAUUAGAUUAUUGAAUGUAACAGCAGAAAC